CUUGAGACAAAAAUCAUGGGUUGUGUUCUGUGCAACACUCCCACUGAGUCAUAGAAAGAGAAAUAGACAGACAGAGAUAGAGAGGGGAAGAGAGAAGAACUGAUAGAAAGUGAAGAUGAAUAGGGAGAAGAUUGACUGCGAAAAUCCAGGUGCUAACAACUCAGCUGUCGAAAAUUGCACAGGGAAAGAAUGGGCAGUAGAAUCAGAGAGGAAGGGGAGCAUUGGAGACUGGACAGCGCUCGCACUCAUCUUCCUCAAACCCACUCUCACCCCAUUUCUUUGAGGCUGAGUGUGAACAUAAUCCUGUACAAUUAUUUGCAUUGUAUCAAUGAAGAGAUCAGGAAGUGGGUGGUUUGAGGCCCUAUUAAAUGGUCAUUUUAAUGCAAGCUCUAAUGGGGAAAUAUUCUCUAUUAAGGAUAGGAGGAGCAAUAUUUCUUCAAUUAUACAAACUCUAGAUAAAGUUUACAAUUUGGAUUGGUUCAGUAGUGCUUUGAAAAAUCAAUGCUCAGUGGCUGUUGACUUCAAGUGGAUGCUUAAUCAGGUAAUAAUGUGUUUGAAUUCAGGUUAAUAGAUGAUUCUCUUGUAGAAAGCAAACAUUUCUGCUAUUCACUAUUUAUUUUAAAUGUGAAAGCAUAAGCAGCCAUCAUUCCACACUUAAGUCAUUAUAAGUCAUAGAUAAGCAAAGUAUUCAUUCAUAGCCAUUGGUCCAAACAUCAUUACAGCAGCAGGGUUUCUCAGGUUAGAUUAACUGGUUGAUUUAUCACAAUUUUAAGUGUUAGGGUCAUAUUUUGUAUGUGUUGGAAAAUCUGAGUCAAAAUGCACUUUUGAUGUAUUUGAGUCUUAUUUUAGCAUGUCUAGAACAUCAACAAGUGGUAUCUUUUGAAGACACAUUCAAAACAAGUUCAAAGUCUGCUCAAUCAGUGCUGCAAUUGCUGUCUGGUCUAAUUGCUUGAUAGCAGCCGAUCUAUUGAGAUCACUUAACCUUGACAACAAGCGCGAUAGACGACCAAUCAAUUGAGCUUUGUAUAAAAAGGAUUCCAAUUCUGUUUCAGAUGAUGUGGCAACCUUGGAAUUCUUGCACUAGGAUUUCAGGACAACUUAAAUACCAUUUUUUCGGGUCGUCAUCAUACACAGCACAGACACGCAUCAUUGAGAAAUUGCUGCGUGCCUAGGGUAUUGUACUGAGCUACUUUUGGUUCAUUGUUGAAGCGUCUUGCUGCAAAGAACUUUGCACAAGUCAACUAAAAUAAUCCAGAAUUCCUGUAGGGAGUCAGUCAUGUUGAUAGGAGAUAUGUGCAACUGUUAGCUAUGUUGAAGAAAAUCUGUGCUAAGUGCUAACCAAAGAAGUCUAUUAUCAAUCAAAAUCUAUUUGGAGGGAGCUGAGCUAGGUUCAAUAGGUUCUAUAGUUUGUAGGUACUUGGGAUUGGGUAAUCUCUGUACUUGUAUCUCUAGUUUUGAUUAGUUGAUUAUUCAGGAGUGGUGACCUAUAUAAUGGCUUGUUAGGGUUUUUCUUGCGAAGGUUUUCCCCAUUGUAACCAUAUCGCUUGACAAAUUUAUUUUCUACUGCACUUAGUUUUUACAAUAUGGUUGUGCCCAUCACAUUGUAAUUGAACUUUACAUGAAAUUGGACUAAUUAAUCAACUUGGAUAAUUGAUUUAUUCAUUGGGGUCAAAUUACAACCCAACACAGAGUUUCUUGUUUUCCAAUUUUAAUGAUGUAUUGUAUCUAUUAUAGUCUCUACACUCCGAACUGUCUAACAGAAAAUAAUAUGAAUCUGUGUAACCUUUUGCUCCCAAGACUUUUGGGGGGAAAAGUCAUUUCUCAUCCCGACACUUUUGAUUAAUUAAUUAUUUAUACUUCAAAAUUCUCAAUCAUUUAACUGUCUGAUUGGGCUUACAUCUGUAAUGAAAAUACACCAAUUUAUAAUUAUUAGCUGCAAUUAUUCUCCGCUAAGUUGUACAAUGACUACGUUUAUCUUGGUGCAAGAUUUGAAUCGAAAACCUAUUCCAAUCCACCCCUUUUCCAGCCUAUUUAUAGCCCAGUGGAGAAAUUUUGAAAAGAUUUAUUUGCACAAAAUUUGUACGGAUGAAAUUUUUAAUUCCUUAAUGACUCACAUAUGGGUUUGCAAUGAUUGGAGCUGGGUCAGCUUGCCUCAUUUUCUUUGAACUUCAAAAUGAGAAAGAAUCUUUUGGUCAUGAUUUUUAAAUAUUUUAUGAAGGUUAUGCAUGUAAAUCAAUGAAUCUUGAUUGCACUAAUUACGAUUGGAUUGGAGAAAUUUUGUUUAGUAUAAUGAAGUAGAAGUCUUGUGGCUGUCAUGUAUUCGCAAGCUUUCUAAAUUUGUUCUUUGAGAUGCUAGUGCAAGUUGCAGGGUGCAGCUUCUAGUUUUUCCCUAGCUCAAGAGUAGAGAACACAGAAGGCAUUGUUGGGAGAGUUAGGAUCUCUAGGUUGGAUUAUAAUGGAGCAUUGGGUAGUAAGAGAUUUAUUUAGAAGGUGGCAAAAUGGUUCUUCCAUCCUUCAGCUCAGAAAAUCUUACUGAUAGCUAGGUCCUCUAAUAUGCACUUUUUAGAGAUUUUGAGAAAUAUGUAGGCAUAUAUGAAAUUUUAAGGAGCAUAGUUGGAAACUCUGGCGUCUACAAGACUUAGAUGCUGCGUUGCUUUGAAAAUCUAGUAACACUGAGCAUUUAUACAGCAUGAAGAAAUGUAAUGAGAACAUUGGAGUAUCUUUACUUCCUUGCUUUAAUAGUAUGUUUUUGCCAAUUCAUGUUCAAUUGGGAACAGUGAUCAUCAUCCUCCAAAAUUGAGUAAUCAGCACAUGGUUUACAGAAAAUUAUCAGUAUACAUUACAUGGACUUAUGCUCUCUUCUUUUGAACUAAGGUCAAACAGGAGGGAUUGAACCCCAUAUAUUACCCCCACAAAGGGGGGCAGCAUGCCAAUAGGCCAGAAGGUCAUUGGACUUACCAUGUGUUAAUUACAUAUAAUAGCAUUCUUACCUGAGUGACAGUAGAUUUUGCUGAUUGCUUUUGAUAUGGUCUGGAACAAUUUUCUUUGAGUAUUGCUGCCAGUACAUUUUCAACUUCGUUAUCCAUGGACAGCAGAUGUAUGUGUAGCGGAAGUUGUUUUACUCCAAAAGCUACUUGAUUAAUUAAAGAUAUACAGUGUUCUUGGAAGCUAUUGAGUAGCGUUAUCCUUCACUCAUAUGGUAACUUCAUACUGGAAUAGGACAUUUUAUGAACCUACUUCCCCUUGAACAUAGUGUACUAAGUAGCAGUAGAUGGAGUAAUUGAAAAUGUGAAUCUGUUUUAUAUUUGUAUCAUAUCUCUGCAAUUCUGGCUAUAGUAAUAUUUUGUGAAUAUGAUGCAGGGAUUUUAAGGGGGCUGCUGUUUAGGCUUAGAAUUGAUUAAGGGAAAUGAGAGUUGCUUAGAUCAAGGAACAAGGUGUGACAAAAUCUUCUUAAGAGAAAUUCAUUUUUUGAAAAUAGCACUAGCCUAAUCUGUGUAAAUGUAUUAAAAAACUGAUCACAAAGUAAUUACAAUCUGGUACUUAUACUAGUUGUUUGUCAUUGACAGCCUUCUAGAUUCUUGACAAGUGUGUCUAAAUCCUGUUGGCCAAUGCUUAAGCAACCAUCUAACUAACUAAUUAGUUACAAGAGGAUUAGGAUGCAACUACUUGAAAUGCCCUGCAUCAGGACUCUCCCUCUUAAGAAGCACUUGACCUCAAGUGCUCUUAUUUGCCACUAGAUUUGUAUGAAGUUCUAGCCUUCUAGGAUGAUACAAUUGCCUUGUGUAAUGAGUUUGCUGCUGUCACAGCAUACCAAAGGCAGCUGCUUUGGUACAGCUUAUUCCCACAAAACUGAAUCAACCUUCAUUUUGAUCAUAGGCUUGGGGUCUACUUUGCCCUUAUUUAGUUGCAAAUAGUAGGGCUGUACCAUCUUGUACAUAAUGUGUGUGCUACACCUUCUACCAUGGAUGGUUUGCCUAUCAUGUUGACAUGGUCUUCCACCUGCAAGUAAGGAAUGACAAACAUUCAUGGCUUGCCAUAAAGAAUACAAUCUUGAAAGCUAUUGGUUCAUAAGAACCCUAAGCACCCUCUUGAGGCUCUAACUUCACCUCCUCCUAUAUUAGCAUCUAUUUCUUCUUUCACAAGUCAAGCAUACAUGGGUUCUUGAAUGCAUUCCUCCUCUUUAUUGUUUUCAAUUGGCAAUAUGCUAUGACUCACUUCUUCUUCUUCAUUUUGAUCAUACACAGGUGCAUUCAUUAGCAUAUCUUGCUUGGGUGCUUGCAAGGUAUUAUCAAGGAUCAAAGGUAUGGAUGAUCUUGAACUCAUAGCGUUUUAAUUAGUGUUGGCUGGUAUACUUUCAAAGUACAAAACUUCAAUAAACUCCACAACGCUGAUUACUGAACUGGAGGACAUGGAGGUGACAAUAGCCAAGGCUUUAGAAUACUGCAAUAACACAUAGCACAUCAUUCUGAACUAUGAGGAUCUUAUCAUGAACCGCACUGUGGUCCAUAUUGUCCAUUUUUCUUGCAGAAACUAAAAGAUGUUCAAGAUUCUUAAAGCUUCCACAGAUGGUAUUGACAAGCUGGCAAAUUAAAAUACACAAAUGGCCAUUGUCAGACAACUGGGAAGAUGUUUACAAGACGCUUACAGGCUACAGCAACAGCUUAUGAGAGUUUUCUCCAUGCAGACUAUUGGACAAAGUCCGCUAACUUUUGAAAUGGAUUAUAUACCACUUUAACUAAUUCUUAUAACAUAAGCUGACAGGAUACCAGCCCUGAUUGAAAAGUUUCGGCUGUAACACCACCAUGGAGUUUUGAUGCUUGUUUCUUUCAAAGUCUAAAUCAACACUCCGUUGAUGAGUAUAUUCCUUUUCAUCAUUUUCUUGUUGGUCAUACAGACGCCACGUACAUGUGAACUAAUCAGUCUGAAUGAUCAGCAACUGUUUAAAAAGUGCAAGUAGCUCUGCAUUUUCUGGUU